GGCAAUUUCAAAAUUGCAAUAUAAAUAUGAGGAACCUGACCUGACUUCACUCUCACCCGAGGAAAAAACACACCUCCUCUGAACCACAAGUCAAAACUUUUAUUCCCAGCGCACAUCUCUGUGGCCUAGAACACACAUUGUGCAUAGACAAAGAGCAGCAACUGUGGUCUACAGUACAGGGACAGCAGACAAAAGAACAAAACAUAACGCAUGUCAGGUUAGCGCUCUGUGUCUUGGGUGACCCAACGUGGGGCCAGGGACCCAUAUCCCUUUACUAGAAGACGCCCCCUGCUCCAGGCACAGCUCCAGCCCAGUCCCAACGUCAAGGCCAGCCCCGCUAUCCCAUUGCCUGGACAAAGAGACCUUGGCUGCAACUGCUGUGUCCACCUGCAGAGGCCAACGGGCGUGAACCCUCUCUCUGGCUCUGUGGCGUGAAUACUGAUAUGAGGAAGAGGAUGAUCAGGACCGUUCACCCUGAGAGAAGCACUGCAGAACCAUGGCAUCUGAAAACAGCUGCGUGAAGCACCCAACACGUGGGUGCUUGUUGUCAUUAUCAUUAUUCAUAUUGUUGUGGUUGUUGCUAUUAUCAUUAUGAUUGUGGUUUUAACAUAUAGAUGAUUCUAAUUAUUCUCAUCAUUAUUAUUAUAUGAACACAACAUAAUGACCUUUUUAUUAAUAAUUAGGAUAAAUGCUAUAAUCUUUUUAUAAAUGACCUAUACUUUUUUUUUAUAAAUGACCUCACUACCAUGUAGUAGCUAAAGAUA
ensembl:lncRNA